UUGCUUUUGUGGGAAAAGCAGUCAGUCUCCGGUCAUGAGAGCUCCAAGUCCUUAUCACCAGGGCAAUGCUGAUUCUGACGCUGCUGACUCAGACCAUCCGUGCUGGAGCCAUGUGUAACGCAAAGUUUAUUUUUCUUCCACCUGCUCGGUUUUUGCAGGCACAGAAAGAGGUAACAAGGAGAAGUCUUAGAAUUGCCUUCUCUGUUGCACCAUGUGGAGUUACGUGUUUAGCCUUCUCCCUGGUAAUGGCAAGAAGCAGCUGUCAGCUACUAACUAAUAAUGUGUUAUGCAUAUGCACCUCACCUCCGGUAGCUUAAAGAAGCUUUGAACUUGAGGACACCUUCCUCCUGAGUUAGUACAUUAACACUUUUACCUGCUUGUGUAAAGGCCCUGUGGCUCUCCAGCAUCCCACAGAACAAGUACGUUAGCACAGGAAUGCUGGCACCAUGUUGCUCGAGUAUUUAAACAUAGGAAAGUUAUGGACGAAUCAGUUCCUAGGUCUGUCUGCUCACUGCAAGGACACUUCCUUCUGUUCCUUCACACCUUCAGUGCACCUUGCUUGGUGAAUAAAUGAGGGUAAGGAGCCAGUGCGGAGCCAUGUGAGUUGUGGAAUGAAGGUCCAGACAACUGAACGCAACCCUCAUGAAAUAACUGGCUGAGCAGACUCAGCCCUGACUUCAGGCAGGACAUCACUCAGCUGAAAAUUGAAGAUUUACCCAGUCUUUUGUUCUUGGCAUCUGGUAAUACCACCCCCUACUCACUGCAUGGAAAGGGCAUGGCAACAGUUUGUGAAGACUAAUGAACAAGAUCUGUUUUGGGAGUGAUCAUAACCUGAUUUAAUAUAGAGCAAUGAGGCUGCAAGUGUUUACAUGGUAGACUGGAAAGGAGCUCUUUGUCUUUCUGUAUUUGUGUGCGCAUAUGUGAACAGCAUGGAACGAUGUAACUGGCACAUUAAAGAGAAGGCUUUAUCUGCAGAAGGUUUUGGUCUUGCAGAAUGUUUUGAAGUGCAGUAUCCACAGCAGUUUGUCUGUUUGUUUUCCUUCUUUGGAAGACAAAAUCCAAGAGCCCUUCAGUCUCUGAGGACACAGAAAAGGGGCUUUUGCUCCAAUGGCUGAACUGCUAUAAUACUCUGGACAAGGGUAUUAAAUGGCAGUAAGGCAGAUUUGCAUCCUGCCGAGUUUUCUGGGUUAGCAUGGAGUAUGAGGCUGACAAGCUGGUUGACUAAGACUGGGUAAGUACACACCUCAUUUUCACACCUCCUGUUAGCGCCAAGAUAAACAAGCCUGGAUCUGAAAAACAAGCUAGCUGCGAAAUGAUCUCCCAUCUCUAAAAAUGUUCAGGAUGUCAACGCUUUGUCACUUUGGUCUCAGCUGGAGCUAAGGCCGCUGCAAAGUCCUCCUUUACAUCUCUCAACGUCUGCUGUUACUCAGGUGGCUGGGGCCAUAUGGAUUCUCCAGCUACAAGGUGGAGCUGCUCUAGGUGGUGUUUUCAAAAUCAAGUCAGUUCAUGCCAUAAACGAACUUAAAGACUGGUGACUUUGAAAGCCGCUGCAAAUCAGAAAUCUGGUAGCUGGGACAUGCAGAACAACCUGGACAAAGCCAAAAGUUGUACAGGGCUCCUGCAGGCAGGGUAAGGACCUCGUGCACCACACUAUCACCUGCUGUGAGAUUCAGGAGGUUUUUUUCAGUAAGUUCGUCUGGAGGUUGAGAAACAUUUUCUAAGCAGUUCUACCAAAAUUAAAGAGCCGAGAUAAGUCACUACCAUUCUGACAGUUCAUUUAGGAAUUAAGGAGAGGAAUAAGCACUGCUGCUGUCAGUAUUUUUUUUUGCUGAUUUCUUACAGACGUGAGCUCAGGCACACUGUGCUGCUAUUUCUUCAUUCGUCCUCUUGUUUUCUUGGUUCUACCUUUCGUAGAUAACUUCUGAAUUCGUUUUCCACUUGUAACCACAAAUAACACAAGGGUAUAGAGCACAGAAGUAAUGAAGCUUCUGUGAUAAGGUUGGUCAGACAUGGGAAGGUGAGAUACAGUAUUGUAUAUCUUGCCAAAAGGGCACGCACCACCACCAGUUGCAGUGAAGCAGUGUUGUAGAAAGGUGUCCUGACAGCAGAAGUUUGUAGACAUCAGCAAAGUCAGCCAAAACGAUGGAACUACUCAGGAAUGCAGAUUUUCAGUAAUAGUUCUAUAUGAGUGACUCACUUUCAGAAGAAAUAAUUAAAGAAAAAAAACAUCUUAAACGAAAUAAUAGUAUAUGUCACCUGUGACAAUACAAUGCCUAUGAAGUUAUACACUCUGAAAGCAUUUUUACCAAGUGAACUAUGAAGACAGGCAUUCACUUAAGGAAGUAACAUAGAAUUUCUUCUGAAAUAGACUUGUUUUUAUAUUAAAUGCCAUUUUAUAAAGAACUUGAGAGAUUUGUGGGAACAUCCUCAGCAUGCAUGUUUCUGCUUAAUUCCUGUUUCUAGCUAUAAAAAUGUGCUGUUUGCCAGUGGAGCAAGCUGGUGCCAUUG